CUGGCGCGGUUCAAUACCUCGUCUAGCUUGGGUUCCAGUGUCUUUUUUUUUUUUUUUUUUUUUUAACUGACAAACUCAUUUCUCUACUGGGACAGGAUGCUGUGCUGGCUGGAAGUUCCAUUUCUACAGCAAGAAUCCUAUCUGGAAGCACAGAAGUUGUCCUCUAGCCACAGCAGCUUGAACUUUUUUGAUUGUUGUUGCUGCUUUCUCCCAUCACCCCCAUCCCCUUUUGACAAAGAUCCAACUGUAUAAAGUCUUACGUAACAGUUCAGGACUACUUCGGUUCUUUUACUGGUAUAUCAAGAGGCCUCAGGAGGACUAUGAUAACAUUUAUAUCUCCAAGUUGGAAAAAAAAAAAAAAGUGGUUUCAACAUUUCAUAUCUCUGGAAAAAGAGAUCUGAGAAGAAUGUCCUUGUUAUUUUGAUUGGGAUCCCACUGAAUCUGUAAACUGCUGUGGGCAGUAUGGACAUGUUGAUGAUAUUAAUUCUUUGAAUUCAUGAACUUAGAAUACCAAAAAAUGGAAAAAAUCUUCCAUCUCUUUCAUGUUUUCUAAUUUUCAUUGUAGAGAUCUUUCAUAUCCCUGGUAAAAUUUAUUCCAAGGCAUUUAAUAUUUUUGUAUCUAUUGUGAAUGUGACUGACUUUACAAGUUCUUUUUCAGUCAUAGAAUUAUUUGUGUAUACAAAGGCUAUUUUUGUAUGUGAUUUUAUAUUCUGCAGUUUUACCAAACUUUCUUAUGAGCUCCAAUAGUCUCUUAGUGGAAUCUUUUGGUUUCCCCAUUUAUAAGAUCAUGUCAUCUGCAAACAGGGAUAAUUUGCCUUCCUUCUUUCAAAUUUGUAUACCUGGGGAUGGUGCUGUGGUGUAGGUUAAGCCUCUGCCUCCAAGGCUGGCAUCCCAAAUGGGCACCAGUUCAAGUCCCGGCUGCUCCACUUCUAAUCCAGCUCCCUGCUAAUGGCCUGGGAAAGCAGUAAAAGAUGGCCUAAGUGCUUGGGUCUCUGCACUCAAGUAGGAGACCUGGAAGAAGCUCCUGGCUCCUGGCUCCAGCUUGACCCAGCGCUGACUGUUGGCAGCCAUCUGUGGAGUGAACCAGCCAAUAGAAGAUCUCGGUCUCUCCCUCUGUCUAUAACCCUGCCUCUCAAAUGAAUAAAUUCUUUAAAAAAUCACAUCCCUUUGAUUUUUUUUCUGUCUCAAUGUCUCUGGCUAAAACGUCCAGAACUAUAUUGACUAGUAAUGGGCUCACUCAGUUUGUACUGAUUUUCUUUCCCCUCAGUAUGGAUCAAACUUUGCUUGUGUUAUAAUUUUUUUCCUGAACACUGAACAUUUAAACUAAAGUGCUGUUAGAAAUUGUGGAUUAUCUUCAAAAUUUAUAUUUAUUAAAUAAAAGAUUUUUAAAACAACAGUAAAAAAAAAAAAAAGAAAUUGUGGAUUCUGGGGAGUCAGCGCUGUGGCACAGCAAGUUAACACCCUGGCCUGAAAUACCCACAUCCCAUAUGGGUGCCAGUCCUAGUCCCGGCUGCUCCUCCUGCGAUCCAGCUCUCUGCUAUGGCCUGGGAAAGCAGCAGAACAUGGCCCAAGUCCUUGGGCCCCUGCACCCACGUGGGAGACCCGGAAAAGCUCCUGGCUCCUAGCUUCCGAUCGGCACAGCUCCAGCCAUUGUGGCCAAUUGUGGAGUGAACCAGCAGAUGGAAGACCUCUCUGUCUCUACCUC